rnacentral:rRNA from 1 species
UCCCUUAGUAACUGCGAGUGAAGAGGGAAAAGCUCAAAUUUAAAAUCUGGCAGUGUUUCGCUGUCCGAGUUGUAACCUAGAGAAGUGUAACCUGUGCUGGACCGUGUACAAGUCUCCUGGAAUGGAGCAUCACAGAGGGUGAGAAUCCCGUCUUUGACAUGGACUGCCAGUGCAUUGUGGUUGUGCUCUCAACGAGUCGAGUUGUUUGGGAAUGCAGCUCUAAAUGGGUGGUAAAUUCCAUCUAAAGCUAAAUAUUGGCGAGAGACCGAUAGCGAACAAGUACCGUGAGGGAAAGAUGAAAAGAACUUUGGAAAGAGAGUUAAACAGUAUGUGAAAUUGUUGAAAGGGAAACGUUUGAAGUCAGUCAUGUUGGCUGGGGAUCAGCCUGACAUUUAUGUUGGGUGUACUUCCUGGUUGACGGGCCAACAUCAGUUUUGACUGCCAGAAAAAGGCCAAGGGAAUGUGGCACCUUUGGGUGUGUUAUAGCUCUUGGUCGUAUGUGGUGGUUGGGACUGAGGAAAGCAGUGCGCCGAAAGGCAGGGUUUCGACCACAUUCGCACUGAGGAUGUUGGCAUAAUGGCUUUAAGCGACCCGUCUUGAAACACGGACCAAGGAGUCUAACAUGCAUGCGAGUGUUUGGGUGGAAAACCCUUACGCGUAAUGAAAGUGAAAGUUGAGAUCCCUGUCAUGGGGAGCAUCGACGCCCGGACCAGAACUUUUGGGACGGAUCUGCGGUAGAGCACGUAUGUUGGGACCCGAAAGAUGGUGAACUAUGCCUGAAUAGGGUGAAGCCAGAGGAAACUCUGGUGGAGGCUCGUAGCGAUUCUGACGUGCAAAUCGAUCGUCAAAUUUGGGUAUAGGGGCGAAAGACUAAUCGAAACCAUCUAGUA